AUUUUAUUUAUAAUUUGUUUUAUACCUUUUGCAUAAUGGUUUAAUUAUAUAUUAAUUAAAAUUUAUAUUCCCGAAGUUAGAAGAUCUAAUUUUAUUAUACUAUUUAGAUAUAUUUAUAUAAUGUUACAAAAUUAUAAUAAUAAAUAUAAUUAGGGGUGAAAGGCUUAUCAAUUCUAAAGAUAUCUGGAAUAAUUUUAAAUGUAUUUAGUACAAAAUAAAAUUUGAAUAAUAAAAUGUUAAGAUUUUUUUAUUUAUUAGAAUAUUAAUUUAUUUUAUAUUAUGAAUUAACCUUCUAAUAUUUUAAUAAUUUAAAAUUUUUUAUUAAUUAUAUCUAUUAUGAUAAAAUUAUAUAUUUAUUAAUUUAUAUAAAAAUUAACUAUGUUAAAAUUAGUAUAAUAUUUUUUAUUUUAUUAAGGAACUCGGCUAAUUAUUAUUCAUCUGUUUAUCAAAAACAUAGUCUUAUGAAUUAAUAUAAGGUGCAACCUGCCCAUUGAAUUUAAAUUUUAACGGCCGCAGUACCUUGACUGUGCUAAGGUAGCAUAAUAAAUUGACUCUUAAUUGGGGCCUUGAAUGAAAGGAUCAAUGAAUAAUUUCUGUCUCAUUAUAAUUUAUUAUAAAUUACUUAAAAGGUGAAAAUUCCUUUAAUAUAUAAAAUAGACGAGAAGACCCUAGGAGUUUUCAAUUUUGUUGGGGCGACAAUAUAGCAUAUAACCUAUAAUAUAUUAAUCUAUAUAACGAAUAAUUUUAAUAAUAAAUAAACUACCCUAGGGAUAACAGCAUAAUUUAAUUUUAAGUUUGUGACCUC
rnacentral:rRNA from 1 species